rnacentral:rRNA from 1 species
AUUGAACGCUGGCGGCAGGCCUAACACAUGCAAGUCGAGCGAAGCCUUCGGGCUUAGCGGCGGACGGGUGAGUAACGCGUGGGAACGUGCCCUUUGCUACGGAAUAGCCCCGGGAAACUGGGAGUAAUACCGUAUGUGCCCUUCGGGGGAAAGAUUUAUCGGCAAAGGAUCGGCCCGCGUUGGAUUAGGUAGUUGGUGGGGUAAUGGCCUACCAAGCCGACGAUCCAUAGCUGGUUUGAGAGGAUGAUCAGCCACACUGGGACCGAGACACGGCCCAGACUCCUACGGGAGGCAGCAGUGGGGAAUCUUAGACAAUGGGCGGAAGCCUGAUCUAGCCAUGCCGCGUGAUCGAUGAAGGCCUUAGGGUUGUAAAGAUCUUUCAGGUGGGAAGAUAAUGACUGUACCACCAGAAGAAGCCCCGGCUAACUCCGUGCCAGCCGCCGCGGUAAUAC